CAGCCCUUAUACUCUCCCAAAUUCAUUCUCCAUCAAUCACAACUAAGUUCAAAGGCAAAUCAAGUGAUUACAACAUAAGGAAUCACAUGACAAUCAUAGAAUCGUAGAUUUCUCGUUGUUUCGAUUUUCGGAAGAAAGCUUCAUUUUGAAAUAAAUUAAGUUGUAGAGUAUUAUUCAACUUUUGAGGUAGUCGUUCAUAAGGUAUUCAAGGACCGGAAGACGCGUAUAGCUCUAUCAACGAGUCUUUGAUAGACAGGCCGGCGUGCCUCCGCAGUAGGACACCGAGAUCAGCGCUUGAGUGUCACACUCCACUUCUUCGGAGUUGCUGGUUGUGAGUCUAUAGGUACAGAUGCAUAUGUAUAUGUAUAGUUUUGGGGUAUGUCGGGGCCCUAUCCCGACCUGUUGAUAUUGUGUUGCUCUUUUAGAGGCUUGCAGACCAGUUGUCAGUGUAUAUAUGUUUUGCAUGGCC